UACGAAGGGGGGGCUAGCGUUGUUCGGAAUUACUGGGCGUAAAAGCGCACUAGGCGGAUCGUUUAAGUCGAGGGGUGAAAUCCUGGAGCUCAACUCCAGAACUGCCUUCGAUACUGGCGAUCUAGAGUCCGGAAGAGGUGAGUGGAACUCCUAGUGUAGAGGUGGAAUUCGUAGAUAUUAGGAAGAACACCAGUGGCGAAGGCGGCUCACUGGUCCGGUACUGACGCUGAUGUGCGAAGCGUGGGGGAGCAAACAGG
rnacentral:rRNA from 1 species